rnacentral:tRNA from 1 species
GGAGGCGUGGCCGAGUGGCUUAAGGCGGCGGUUUGCUAAAUCGUUGUACUCGGAAACGGGUACCGGAGGUUCGAAUCCUCUCGCGUCCGCCA